ACCGAGCUGUCAAUCAGCUGCCGAAGAAACCUGGUACCCGGUGCCAGGCAGUCAUGGGCAGCUUUACGCUAGGGGAGGAAGAGAGGGGCGAGAGAGGAGGGGUGUGGAGAGAGAAGGGAAGAGGAGAUUGAAAGGCGACGCAGCUACAAGUUUGACUAAAAUCUCCAGUCGCCUCUGCUCGAGGGCUUUACAGAUACCCAGCAGCGGGCAGAAUGACCCUCACAUCCUUCCUCAAGUGUGGUGACCAGAAUUGGAUGCAAUACUCAAGUUGUGGCCUGACCAGAACAAGGAUCAAAACAGAAGAACAGAUGUCCCUCAAAGGGGACGAAAAAAAAACACGGGAAUCGAAGAAAAACAUGCGUGAGAAAACACGUAGACAACAUGCAAAGGGCUGAAACGCAAGGUGGACAGUUGUACAAAGUUCUGGUUAGACCACAUCUGGAGCACAGUAUUCAAUUCCGAACACCAACCUGGCCUUGGGAGGAUGGCAGUGCAGAUUCACCAGAAUGAUACCAGGGGCUCAAAGGUUUAACUGAUGAGGACAGCUCAUCAAUGGAGCGUGUGUUCCCUUCAGUUAAGGGUGAGCAAAUCGCGGUGAUUAAGAUGAGUAACUAUUUGAUAGGAUCAAGGGAGAUGAGCUAUUCCCUCGAGGGGUGUUGUGAUUCCAGAACAAAGCAAAAACCUAAAAUGAGACCUAGGAAUGAUAGCAGGGAACACUUCUUCACACAAAGGGUAGUGGAAAGCUUGGGGUCAAUUCAAAAUUUCAAUAAUAAGAUGGAUAGAUUUUUGUUA